GGUUGAAUGGUGUAACGGUAGCACAUAAGAUUUUGAUUAGGCAUCAACAUUCUUGUGACCUGGGUUCGACUCCCAGUUCGACCU